rnacentral:piRNA from 1 species
UGGGUGCUAUGACAGGUUAUUUCCCAAAGUG